CCAGACUAGCUGAGAGGUGGUAAUGUAUUAUUUUGCUCGUCAUUUUUAAACAUUUGUUUGGAUUUUUUCGGACAAUUCAAAUCUUGUUUUAUGCACGUAUAAAUGUGAAUUUUUAGGUUGUGAACAUGCAGUUAAUGUGUCAAUUAAAGAUACAUAUUGUAAACGGACUUUUUGCAAGUUGACAUGUUUCCACACGCUGGUCUUCUGUAUGUUUAUCUGCUAACAGGAGCUUGAGACCUGUGUGCUGUGUGGAGGAGACUGCAUGUUACAGAGCCUUACGUGUUUUCUAUUGAUUUGUACAGAAAUCCACCGUUCUACCUUCAUUAAAAGAACAAUCAACAGCUGGCCGUGGUUCGAGGCCUUCUUUCAUCCAGCGCAACAUAGAACACAACGCAGGACUUAGGGUUAAUGGACGUGCAUCCAACGCGAUAUUAAACUGUUGAAGACAAAGCACGCCCGUUGCAAUGGCUUCUCAACCAAAGCCUAAAACACACCAAAAAGACACAAUAUAAAACAUGUAAAACCUUUGACAGCUAAAAGAUGACUACUUUUACCACAUUACUAACGAAUGAUGAAAAAAAAAAACUUUUUAUACACUAUGAAGUGUUGUUUAUAAAUAAAUUAAAAAACAGAGGAAACAUUAGCAUAAUAAAGUGCAAUAAUGCUCUAGCACAUCUUAUAAAAAAAUUCAAAAAUGCAUACCCUGUUGAGAAGGAUUCUUUUCUGUGGGACGAGAUGAAGAUUUCGAUUUCCUUCACACACCAACAGAAACUGUCCAUCCAGACAAAUGUCAAUAGCAUUUACAUCAGUUUCUGGAAAAGGAGAUUUAAGUGGAUUACUAAGGACGAGCUGAAGGAGGAAUUUUGUAGAACGUUACAACUUUCUGAUAUUAUUUAUAUUUUGUGUGUUAAAGUAGAUACAGGAAUGUGCAGUAAAUGAAUCUGCAGCAACUAAGUAUGUAUGUGGAUAAAAAUCCGUAAGGAAUGUAAAUAUUUAUGUCAAACAUUUAUUCUUACGUAUUAUAAGUAAGUGCACUGUAAUUGUACAGUGAUUCGGACCUAAGGAAGUAACUAAGUAACGUGUUUAUAUUGUGGAUGAAAUGUAUUCACGUGUUCAUAUUUUAUAGAAGUAUGCAACAUAUAUAAUCAUGUUUUAAAAGAUCAUAAGAGAUGCGCUAAAACAUAACCUGCCUAAAAUAUAAACAUGCUGCUUGUGGAAAAUAUAAAAUGUAUUGCAUAUAAACAUGCUUUGGAAAAUGUGCAAAUAUGUAAUCUACGUGGAAGCAUAAGCAUGCUGCUUGGAUCCUGCAAUAUAAAAUACACAGACACUCUGAAACAGGAAUUAAGUUAAACUCAGGAUGUGUAGUGAAACAGCUGAUGCGACAGGAGAGGCCUUGACCUUGUGGCAGAAGCUCAGGAGGUGUACGUGACAAUAACCAGGUUCUGAGUGGAAGCCAGUGUGAGUGUGGAAAACAAAGAACAAUAAGAUCAUUUAUCAAAUAUGAUAACAAACAGGAUGUCAAUCUGACGUGCAACAUCUGUGUAUUUUAGGUGAGGGUCUGCUAAUAAACAGAGCCUGAUCAUGUGAAGGGGCAGAAUUCAGCAGUUAGUCUUCUGACUCUCCGUUGGAUCCUCCCUGUGCACAGGCGAACUCGA